rnacentral:tRNA from 4 species
GGGCCUGUGGUCUAGCUCGGUAUGACGUUACCUUCACAUGGUAAAGGUCGCCGGUUCAAAUCCGGUCGGGCCCA